rnacentral:misc_RNA from 1 species
AACGCACCUUGCGCUCCUUGGUAUUCCGAGGAGCAUGCCUGUUUGAGUGUCAUUAAAUUCUCAACCUCACCAGUUUUGUAACGAGACCGGUGAAGGCUUGGAUGUGGGGGUUUGCAGGCUGCCUUAGUGCUGGUCUGCUCCUCUGAAAUGCAUUAGCGAGCUUCAUACUGAGCUUCCGUCUAUUGGUGUGAUAAUUAUCUACGCCGUGGAUCGGACUCAUGCUUGCUUCUAACUGUCCGCAAGGACAAUUUACUUGACCAAUUUGACCUCAAAUCAGGUAGGACUACCCGCUGAACUUAA